UACAAAAGCCGCAGGCAGAAACCUGCUGCUCCCUUGGAGUUCAUCUCCUCCCUGUUUUUGUUCUUCUGCUUUACACUACAAUUUUGAAAUGCUUUACUGACUGUGGGGACAAUUCUUUGAAUAAGAUGCCAGGAAUCUGGAGACAAGAGGACGGGGCACUCUAUGAAAACAGUCAGUCACGAACACGGCUUUUGGUGGGAAGGAAGUAGUGUGUAUAUGUACCAGAAACCUCACCUAUUGAAGACAGCAUAUGUGCUCCCUACGCAAACAGCCCAGCUGUGCUCCGAAUCUCAGGCGCUGACAAUCCAUCCGCCUAUCACCCAGGCUCCAGGCCCUGGCAGUGACCUUGACUUCUCUUUCCCAGAAAUGCCACAUCUGAUCUGGGAACACAUCUUUCCACUUUCUCCUCUGCUGAAACUCGACACGUGACCCAUUGCUACCUCUGCAAACAGAUUCACUUCUGCCUCCCUGCAAGUCAAUUCUCACAUUCACAUCAACGAAGUGUCUUGGACAGGGGCGAUGGGCGAUCUCUGAUUGGCAAUUUGACAGGAUUUAGAAUCUCUAUGCUACAAAUCUCUGUGAGGGAUUUUUCUAGGAUUGAUUACUUGAAGUGGGGAAGAUCACCUCAACUGUGGGUGGCACCAUUCCAAGGACUGGGUCCCACACUGACCAAAAAGGAGAAAGUGAGCUCUCUCCGCUUCCUGGACCAGCUAUUUCAGGCUCCUAUCGCCAUGCCUCCCUGGCCAGGACAGGCUAUAACCUCUAAUCAUAAGCUGAGAUAAACCUUCACUUCCCGAAAUUGCUUUUGGCCAGGCAUUUGCUCACAGCAAUGGGAAAGUAAGUAAUACAACAGCUGUUGCUGUGCUUCCUGGUCACCAUGAACUGAGCCACUCUGCUCUGCCAGGCCCUCCCCGCCAUGAUGGUCUGCCUCUUUCCAGGUCUGAGAGCAAUGGGGCCAGCCAACCAGAUGCUUCAGGAGAGCUGACAGGCAGGCUCUACUCUAACAAAGAAGUUAAAAAUUUCUUCCCCGCUGCUCCUGUUGCUGCCAGUAAGGUGGAAAACAAGUCCAGUCUCCUGCUGUCUGAGGUCUGAGGUGGCCUGAACUGCAGCCGUCCAUCAGUGAGCCCUCUCCCCUACCCAGCGCUUCCAGGACUCUUAGCAUCUAGGCCAAGUCUAUCCCCAAGGUACGAUGACGUGUGCAGCAUGCUCGCUGCUGUAAGCGACUUCCCCUUCGUUUAGAAGCUUCACAAGGAACCCCACUUUGUCUGGUAGGACUGAAAGCUCUCUCUUCAGAACUCUGCUAUAGCUGGGCUACUUGCCUGUGUCACAAAAGACUCCCUUAAUAAAUCUCUCUCAUGAAGGGCAAUUCAUCUCAGCUCCCCUCUCUCGAACCAUACCCUCUCCAUCCCGGGCUUCAUCAAACACAGGACAUCAUCAGGAAAGACAUCUACUAAUGAAGUCAGCCUCUGCUCUGGAUGCUCCCACCAUGCCAAGAACCUUCCAGUUUCUUGCUACUCCCACCAGGUUGAGUUAUGGAACCUAUCCUGGGCUGUCCCAUGGCCUGUCCAGGCCUUGACCUCCAUCCAGGAGAUGGUAGGAGGAGUCGGCAGCGUGGACUACAGUGUCCCAUAUCACACUAACAAGCUCCUAGGUCUGCCACUAAGCUGCUGACAUGAGAGGUGUGUGCCACUACACUCAGAUCCACUGUGGUCUUUUUGUUUGUUUGUUUUUGGAAGUAAUAUCUCUCACUGGCUGGUCUCAAGGAUCUUACCAUCUCCCCAGGUUCAGCUCAUCGCUCCUGUGAUCCUGAGUCAUCCAUAAGCAGUUCCUACUUAUGCUUGUUGGUACUCCCAGUGGGGCUGUCUGGAGCAAUGCUCUGAGCCCAGGGGACUAUAGAACCAGGUGGAAGAGACCGACCACAGGCAGAAAAAGCACGUGUGAAGCGGGCUGAGGAAGAAGACCAUUUCCCCAUCUCUGCCUGGAAGUGGGAAGGAAGACUUUUCAAAGAUGAUAUUGGGGGAGGGGGGUCUUUUGAGGGAUAAAGAGGAGUUCUGAAGGAAAUAUGUGGCAGAGGAGGUAACAUGUGCCAAGAAUGGCUGACACAUGAG